GGCCUACUGAACCCUAGGCCGGUGGUCGAGCUAUACCCCUAUAGUGUAGCUUUUUCAACCCAUCCCCUUCCUUUCAACCUUCCUGGGAAGUGGCGCACCUAGCGCUCAAAUUAGCUUAUUAGCUUAUUAGCUUUUCAAAUUCCAUUCUUCCCAUUGCCAUACACCUACUACUUCAUAACUUUAUCGAAGAUUGGAGGAGCCUUGGCUGAUCAGCCGAUGAAGUGGAUUGACUCUUUUGGCUUAGAAAUGUUGGACGAAUUUAAGGUACUGAUGGUUUUUGA